CAGGAUCAGGCCCUGGACUGAAGCUGGCGCUAAACUGCAGAGCCACCCGGGCUGCCCUGGAUUUUUCAUUUUUAAACAGGAAAAUCACUUAGUGGCAUUUCUCACAAUAGCUCUUAGAGUAGUGCUAAGUUGCCAGUGGAAACUGCCCAUGGGCCACAUGAGAGACCACGGAUCCUGUAAUGCUGGGAGGCAUAAAGCUGGCACAGAAGUGCUGCAGAGAGGCUGUCACCAGUUAGAGGGAAGGAGCCAGAGAAGCAAGAGGUGUGGCAACAGCCAAGGGUCUUCAAAGGUAGAUGGACUGUGCACUCCCUUCCUGAAUGGGAGACCAGCAGAGAGACCUUGGGGGCACGCCCUGCCCAGCCCUGCCCAGCCUCGCCCAGGCUCCAGCCGGAGGCUCCGCCCCCCCAGGCCAUGGCCUUCCACUUACUCACGUGACCAUGCCACAGGCAUGCAGAGAGGCAGGCUGAGCUCUGCCAGGCCAGCAGGGUCCGUGCCAGGCCUGGUGGACUUCGAGGACAAGGAGCAGGUGAAGGCCUUUCUGGAGAACGUGGUGGAGUGCAAGUACCAGUGCUACUGUGAGAAGGACCCGAAUGAUUCAUGA
rnacentral:lncRNA from 1 species